rnacentral:misc_RNA from 1 species
GAAAUGCGAUAAGUAGUGUGAAUUGCAGAAUUCAGUGAAUCAUCGAAUCUUUGAACGCACAUUGCGCCCCUUGGUAUUCCUUGGAGCAUGCCUGUUUGAGUAUCAUGAAAUCUUCAAAGUAAAUCUUUUGUUAACUCAAUUGGUUUCUACUUUGGUAUUGGAGGUCUUUGCAGCUUCACACCUGCUCCUCUUUGUUCAUUAGCUGGAUCUCAGUGUUAUGCUUGGUUCCACUCGGCGUGAUAAGUUAUCUAUCGCUGAGGACACUGUAAAAGGUGGCCAAGGUAAAUGCAGAUGAACCGCUUCUAAUAGUCCAUUGACUUGGACAAUACUUAUAUGCUCUGAUCUCAAAUCAGGUAGGACUACGCGCUGAACUUAAGC